rnacentral:rRNA from 1 species
ACUACGGGUGGCAGCAGUGGGGGAUAUUGCACAAUGGGGGGAACCCUGAUGCAGCGACGCCGCGUGGGUGAAGAAGCGCCUCGGCGCGUAAAGCCCUGUCAGCAGGGAAGAAAAUGAAGGUACCUGAAGAAGAAGCACCGGCUAACUACGUGCCAGCAGCCGCGGUAAUACGUAGGGGGCAAGCGUUAUCCGGAUUUACUGGGUGUAAAGGGGGCGCAGACGGCGAUGCAAGCCAGGAGUGAAAGCCCGGGGCCCAACCCCGGGACUGCUCUUGGAACUGCGUGGCUGGAUUGCAGGAGGGGCAGGCGGAAUUCCUGGUGUAGCGGUGAACUGCGUAGAUAUCAGGAGGAACACCGGUGGCGAAGGCGGCCUGCUGGACUGCAACUGACGUUGAGGCCCGAAAGCGUGGGGAGCAAACAGGAUUAGAUACCCCAGUAGUC